GGGGGUGACAGAGUGAGGGAAGGGGAUGACUGGUGACAGAGUGAGGGAGGGGAUGACUGGUGACAGAGUGAGGGAGGGGGUGACUAGUGACAGAAGAAGGGAGGGUGUAGUGACAGAAGGAGGGAGGGAGUAGUGACAGAGGGAGGUGGUGACUAGUAACAGUCACCACCUCCCUCACUCUGUCACUAGUCACCCCUUCCUUCCCUCACUCUGUCACUAGUCACCGCAUCCCUCUCUCUGUCACUAAUCACUCCCUCCUAACUCUGUCACUGUGUCACCCCCUCCCUCACUCUGUCACUAAUCACCCCUCUGUCCUUAGUGA